rnacentral:lncRNA from 1 species
GUUUCAGCCAGGGUCCCAGGGCUUCCUUCCCGGGUUCCUGCCGGAAAACUUUUCUCCUCCGCCCGGAAGCCUCGAUGGGGCACCUGUCCUGCUCUGGCCUGCCCUGUGCUCAGGAAGCUGGCGGUCCCCCUCAGUGGAUCUUCACCCACAGGGACAACCUGCUGCAGACCGGGUAGGAGGGAGGCAGGGGCCUCUUCCCCUCUCCUUCCUGGCCUGGCCCCACACCCACCAGUGUUGGUUUCACUCUGUGGCUACGAUUCUUCCUGGGUGCCCUUUCCAUUGCACAACUCCUCUAGGCUCUACGAACAGAACUUCUCCCCGCCCCCAAGCCUCUUAGGGUGAGACAUGUUGUCGGUCUGCCAUUGUUGCUGGUCCCUAAAUAGCAGCACCCUUUGAAGGAUCCUUGAACCAUGACCACACCGCAACAAAGAGUCCUUCAUCAAACUCGCUUCCAAAUCCCCUCCCAAGAACACCUUCAGUUUCCUGCAAGAACCCUGACUGCUGAAGCCGGAUUUUGACUAAGCUUCUACCUUGUAAACCGUGACUGUGGGAUUGGGGUCGAGGCGCAAUCAGAGGUUGUAUAAGGCACUAGAUCAAGGCUGCCUGUCUGUCAGGAGUGUCUGCUUUAUUCAGUAGUAAAUGUGAAUUGUUUUUCAUUCUGUUGUGAAUACUGUUGGUUGACAAUGCAGCAGCCAUGCCCUCUCUA